CACGUAGGGGGCAAGCGUUGUCCGGAUUCAUUGGGCGUAAAGAGCUCGUAGGCGGUUCGAUAAGUCGGGUGUGAAACCUCCAGGCUCAACCUGGAGACGCCACCCGAUACUGUCGUGACUAGAGUCCAGUAGGGGAGCGUGGAAUUCCUGGUGUAGCGGUGAAAUGCGCAGAUAUCGGGAGGAACACCGGUGGCGAAGGCGGUUCUCUGGGCCUUACCUGACGCUGAGGAGCGAAAGCGUGGGGAGCGAACAGG
rnacentral:rRNA from 1 species